rnacentral:sRNA from 1 species
GCUACCCUGAGAAACCCUACCUUGAAAAACUACAUACAUACAUACAUACAUACGUGUCAAAUAACUAAUAUGCUGCAUAUCAUAUCUGUAGAUUCUGUAGUUUUUUAGAGGAUUUCACUGUGUCUUUGGCUAGCCCAGAACUCAGGAUCUCACAGAUCCCCCUGCCUCUGCCUUUAGAGAGCUGGCAUUAAAGGUGUGUGAGGCCCCACCUUGUCCAAAUUGAAGCCUUUUACUUCCAGGGCCAUGGGCAUGUCAGCCAGGGCCCUACUACUGAACAUCAUCCCUAGACUCUGACUGUUGCAUUUAUUUAUGUCUCUAACAUCGCUCAAACAGCAGAGCUGAAAGCAAAAGCUCUCAGGCCCAGGUUCCCACCAGCGACUGCCACUGGUCCACACUGCACCUAAUAGCCCAGGUUCCCACCAGCAACUGUCAUUGGUCCACACUGCACCUAAUAGUCCAGGUUCCCACCAGCGACUGUCAUUGGUCCACACUGCACCUAAUAGCCCAGGUUCCCACAAGCGACUGCCACUGGUCCACACUGCACCUAAUAGCUGAGGCAGGCAGGGUCUAUGGAGCCCAAAUUGGCCUCAGACUGAUUAUGUGGUAGAGGAUGACCCUCCUCCCUGUAUCUCAAGUGCUACUGGACGGUGACAGAUCAGGGCUUCCUCUAUCCCGGUGAGACUCCUCACACCCAGUAAAGGGCUCCUUUUAAAGUUAAAGAUUUACGUCAGGUUCUCCUCCACAUUGCCAGAACCCAUAUAUUCUGUCAUCUAUGAGCCUCUUUAACACUUGAUGGUAAAGACUGGUUUAAACAGAUAUGGAAGGAGAACAGGGUGAAGAAACCGGAGUGUACUUUGACACUACACGUUGUUCUCUUCUGAAACACCUAGCAAAGCCACAACAUACUUUCUUGACAUGAUUUCUUUUAAUAAAAAAUACAGCUGAACAUGUAUCACAGAUUACAUGAGACUAUACACAAUAACAUUCUUUCUGCAUAGUAACCAACACUGAUGUGUGUAUUUGAAUUUUAAAAUGGAUUUUUUAUAAUCCUUUAAAGUGCAAUUUAUUUAAAAGGUUUAAGCAAAUCAUAGGAUAAAAGAUUUCUGAUAACUGAGUAAUAUCAAAAAGAUGCUGAAGUUGGAUAAAUCAGAUCAGAAGUGAUCACUAUAGAUGCCAGAUUCACUUGUAAUGUUGGCCCUCCCUCUACCCCCACUGGAUUUAAUUGCUGAGGACUGAGACAGUCCUUCAACUGGCAAGAGCUUUAGCUGUGGUCAGUGCCGUGUCUGGUACACUGUGGCUGACUAUGCACCC